rnacentral:rRNA from 1 species
GAUGAAGGUGUGUUGAGAAGCAUGCUGGAGGUAUCAGAAGUGCGAAUGCUGACGUGAGUAACGACAAAACGGGUGAAAAACCCGUUCGCCGAAAGACCAAGGGUUCCAGUCCAACGUUAAUCGGGGCUGGGUGAGUCGACCCCUAAGGCGAGGCCGAAAGGCGUAGUCGAUGGGAAAAUGGUUAAUAUUCCAUUACUUCUGUGUAAUGCGAUGAGAGGACGGAGAAGGCUAAAUCAGCCUGGCGUUGGUUGUCCAGGUGAAAGGAUGUAGGCAUGUAUCUUAGGCAAAUCCGGGGUACUCUAUGCUGAGAUCUGAUAGCAAGCUGUACUUGUACAGCGAAGUGGUUGAUGCCAUGCUUCCAGGAAAAGUCUCUAAGCUUCAGUUACACAGGAAUCGUACCCGAAACCGACACAGGUGGUCAGGUCGAGUAGACCAAGGCGCUUGAGAGAACUCUGCUGAAGGAACUAGGCAAAAUGGUACCGUAACUUCGGGAGAAGGUACGCUGUUGUUGGUGAUGGAACUCGCUUCCUGAGCUGACGACAGCCGCAGAAACCAGGCCGCUGCAACUGUUUAUUAAAAACAUAGCACUCUGCAAACACGAAAGUGGACGUAUAGGGUGUGAUGCCUGCCCGGUGCUGGAAGGUUAAUUGAUGGGGUUAGCGUAAGCGAAGCUCUUGAUCGAAGCCCCAGUAAACGGCGGCCGUAACUAUAACGGUCCUAAGGUAGCGAAAUUCCUUGUCGGGUAAGUUCCGACCUGCACGAAUGGCAUAAUGAUGGCGGCGCUGUCUCCAGCAGAGGCUCAGUGAAAUCGAAAUCGCUGUGAAGAUGCAGUGUACCCGCGGCUAGACGGAAAGACCCCGUGAACCUUUACUGCAGCUUGACACUGAACUUUGACCUUACUUGUGUAGGAUAGGUGGGAGGCUUUGAAGCUGGAACGCUAGUUCCAGUGGAGCCGUCCUUGAAAUACCACCCUGGUAAUGUUGAGGUUCUAACUCUGUCCCGUGAUCCGGGACGAGGACCGUGUCUGGUGGGUAGUUUGACUGGGGCGGUCUCCUCCUAAAGAGUAACGGAGGAGUACGAAGGUGCGCUCAGCGUGGUCGGAAAUCACGCGUAGAGUAUAAAGGCAAAAGCGCGCUUAACUGCGAGACCCACAAGUCGAGCAGGUACGAAAGUAGGUCUUAGUGAUCCGGUGGUUCUGUAUGGAAGGGCCAUCGCUCAACGGAUAAAAGGUACUCUGGGGAUAACAGGCUGAUACCGCCCAAGAGUUCAUAUCGACGGCGGUGUUUGGCACCUCGAUGUCGGCUCAUCUCAUCCUGGGGCUGAAGCAGGUCCCAAGGGUAUGGCUGUUCGCCAUUUAAAGAGGUACGCGAGCUGGGUUUAGAACGUCGUGAGACAGUUCGGUCCCUAUCUACCGUGGGCGCUGGAAAUUUGAGAGGAUCUGCUCCUAGUACGAGAGGACCAGAGUGGACGAACCUCUGGUGUACCGGUUGUGACGCCAGUCGCAUCGCCGGGUAGCUAUGUUCGGAAGGGAUAACCGCUGAAAGCAUCUAAGCGGGAAGCCUACCUCAAGAUAAGAUUUCCCUAGGACUUUAUGUCCUCUAAAGAGCCGUUCGAGACUAGGACGUUGAUAGGUUGGAUGUGGAAGCAUAGUGAUAUGUGAAGCUGACCAAUACUAAUUGCUCGUGAGGCUUGACUA